GACGUAGGGCGCGAGCGUUGUCCGGAUUUAUUGGGCGUAAAGAGCUCGUAGGCGGCUUGUCGCGUCGACCGUGAAAACUUGGGGCUCAACCCCAAGCCUGCGGUCGAUACGGGCAGGCUAGAGUUCGGUAGGGGAGACUGGAAUUCCUGGUGUAGCGGUGGAAUGCGCAGAUAUCAGGAGGAACACCGGUGGCGAAGGCGGUUCUCUGGGCCUUACCUGACGCUGAGGAGCGAAAGCGUGGGGAGCGAACAGG
rnacentral:rRNA from 1 species